rnacentral:rRNA from 1 species
UACGGGGGGGGCAAGCGUUGUUCGGAAUUACUGGGCGGAAAGGGCUCGUAGGCGGCCAACUAAGUCGAACGUGAAAUCCCUCAGCUUAACUGGGGAACUGCGUCCGAUACUGAUUGGCUUGAAUCCGGAAGAGGGAUGCGGAAUUCCAGGUGUAGCGGUGAAAUGCGUAGAUAUCUGGAGGAACACCGGUGGCGAAGGCGGCAUCCUGGGUCGGUACUGACGCUGAGACGCGAAAGCGUGGGGAGCGAACAGG